CCUACGGGUGGCAGCAGUGGGGAAUAUUGCACAAUGGGGGAAACCCUGAUGCAGCGACGCCGCGUGAGUGAAGAAGUAUUUCGGUACGUAAAGCUCUAUCAGCAGGGAAGAAAAAAAGUCCUUUGGACUUUGGACGGUACCUGACCAAGAAGCCCCGGCUAACUACGUGCCAGCAGCCGCGGUAAUACGGAGGGGGCAAGCGUUAUCCGGAUUUACUGGGUGUAAAGGGAGCGUAGACGGCGGCGCAAGUCUGAAGUGAAAUGCCGGGGCCCAACCCCGGAACUGCUUUUGAAACUGUGGAGCUGGAGUGCAGGAGAGGUAAGCGGAAUGCAUGGUGUAGCGGUGAAAUGCGUAGAGAUCAGGAGGAACACCGGUGGCGAAGGCGGCUUACCGAACUGUAACUGACGUUGAGGCUCGAAAGCGUGGGGAGCAAACAGGAUUAGAUACCCCAGUAGUC
rnacentral:rRNA from 1 species